UACGUAGGGUGCAAGCGUUGUCCGGAAUCAUUGGGCGUAAAGAGCGUGUAGGCGGCUCGAUUAGUCCGCUGUAAAAGUCCAGGGCUCAACCCUGGGAUGCCGUGGAAACUGUCGGGCUAGAGUCCGGGAGAGGCGAGUGGAAUUCCUGGUGUAGCGGUGAAAUGCGCAGAUAUCAGGAGGAACACCAAUGGCGAAGGCAGCUCGCUGGAACGGUACUGACGCUGAGACGCGAAAGCGUGGGGAGCAAACAGG
rnacentral:rRNA from 1 species